GGCAGGAAGGCGCAGGGUGCGCGUCGGCUUUUGAUAAGGUCCAAAUCUUGUUGAGAAAAUGAACCGAAGGUCCCCGUUCGAGUCGGGGUCCUGCCA